UGAGAGGGCAAAGGCUAUAGGCCUAUAUGACAUAUAGGAAGUUGAAUUGCUGGGGUCGAAAGCCGAUGGCGUUUGCUAUAGUUUGGUUAAAAAUACUAUUUUGACCACACGCUACCUCGAUUAUAAUAUGUUUUUCGUUCAGUUAAAAUACAAUGUCUAAUUUACAACUAUGUUUCGUUCAUGUUUUGGUGCUGCAAAUGGACAAAUAAAUUAUUUUAAUUUUGCAAACGGAGCCCGAGGGAAGAAGUGCGUUCGUCCAGCCAGGCUAUGCGCUGCUUCACGGUUUGGAACAAAUGGUUGAAUUCGUCAAAACAAAAGUCAAAAUUGUAUUAACAUGUUUUCCAAGUUGGCAAUGGAUAUUCUGUUGACUAGCACCAAAGCCUCAUUGUCAUUGUAAUUUCCCCCAAAGCCAAGUGGGCCAUUGAGAACCCAGCCAAGAAUGUUUUUUUCUGCAUAAGGUCCACUACCUACACUGUUUACUAUUUUCCAAGGUUCUAAAGCUCUUGGAGCAUCGACACCGAUUAGUAGCCCAAUGCUGCCGUCAAUUGGCGUUACGUCAACCUCCUCCAGGGGCACGAAGCUUCAUGGACAGCUCCCCGGAUCUAGGUGUCGGAGACUGAGAAGAGUUCGUCUUGGGUCAUCCGUCAGUUGCCUGGUGGACACCACUAGAGGGAGCCCCGCUGCCGCUCAUAAAUUUUCUUCCUUUCGUCAACGGGAUCAAGUAGGAAUUGGAACAGAAUUUUUUUUAUGACAGGGGUACCCGUUUAACUUUGACUCCUACGGUUUUUUUUUUUUUUGUUGUUGUUUUUUUCUCCAAACAAACAUGUUCAUGGACUGAGUCUAGAUAGUUCAAUUUGAGAAUUCCGAUCAACACAUUCAGAGGUUGUUAACAAGCUGCAGCGUAAAAAAUAUUAUUAUGUUCGGUCUUACAAAAUAAGAUUUUGUGAUUACCAGUUUUUUAUUUUUAUGCUGUAUCAUUGUGUAAGUUUCCUUUUCACAUUUGCAAAGAAAACUGUAUGCUAUGUGCAAUUGUGCGUUCCAGUUCAGACAAUAGAAACUAAAAUUUUCCCUGUGGUCCCUACUCUAAGCUGGCUUCUGCAUUCUUAAUAUUUAAU